rnacentral:rRNA from 1 species
UGGGGGAUAUUGCACAAUGGGCGAAAGCCUGAUGCAGCGACGCCGCGUGGGGGAUGAAGGCCUUCGGGUUGUAAACUUCUUUUGCUCUGAACAAGGCAUGCUUUUGGGGUGUGUUGAGUGUAGGGGUUGAUUAGCGCCGGCUAACUACGUGCCAGCAGCCGCGGUAAUACGUAGGGCGCGAGCGUUGUCCGGAAUUAUUGGGCGUAAAGGGCUUGUAGGUGGCUGGUUGCGUCUGUCGUGAAAGCUCAUGGCUUAACUGUGGGUUUGCGGUGGGUACGGGCUGGCUUGAGUGCAGUAGGGGAGGCUGGAAUUCCUGGUGUAGCGGUGGAAUGCGCAGAUAUCAGGAGGAAUACCGGUGGCGAAAGCGGGUCUCUGGGCUGUUACUGACGCUGAGGAGCGAAAGCGUGGGGAGCGAACAGG